UACGGAGGGGACUAGCGUUGUUCGGAAUUACUGGGCGUAAAGCGCGCGUAGGCGGAUUUGCAAGUCGGGGGUGAAAGCCCGAGGCUCAACCUCGGAAUUGCCCUCGAUACUGCAAAUCUCGAGUCCGAGAGAGGUGAGUGGAAUUCCCAGUGUAGCGGUGAAAUGCGUAGAUAUUGGGAGGAACACCGGUGGCGAAGGCGGCUCUCUGGACCGGUACUGACGCUCAGGCACGAAAGCAUGGGGAGCAAAAGGG
rnacentral:rRNA from 1 species